rnacentral:rRNA from 1 species
UACGUAGGGCGCAAGCGUUGUCCGGAAUUAUUGGGCGUAAAGAGCUCGUAGGCGGUCUGUCGCGUCGGAUGUGAAAACCCAGGGCUCAACCCUGGGCCUGCAUUCGAUACGGGCAGACUAGAGUACGGCAGGGGAGACUGGAAUUCCUGGUGUAGCGGUGAAAUGCGCAGAUAUCAGGAGGAACACCGGUGGCGAAGGCGGGUCUCUGGGCCGAUACUGACGCUGAGGAGCGAAAGCGUGGGGAGCGAACAGG